CGUACCAGGUUUCCGUAGGUGACCUGCGAAGGGAUCAUUA
rnacentral:rRNA from 1 species